rnacentral:rRNA from 1 species
AUUGAACGCUGGCGGCAGGCCUAACACAUGCAAGUCGAACGAGUGGCAGACGGGUGAGUAAUGUCUGGGAAACCGCCUGCUGGAGGGGGAUCACUACUGGAAACGGUAGCUAAUACCACAUACCAUCGUGUGUCCCCAGGUGGGUUUAGCGUGUAGGUGGGGUAACGGCUCACCUGGGAGACGACCCCUAGCUGGUCUGAGAGGAUGACCAGCCAAACUGGAACUGAGACACGGUCCAGACUCCUACGGGAGGCAGCAGUGGGGAAUAGUGCACAAUGGGCGCAAGCCUGAUGCAGCCAUGCCGCGUGUAUGAAGAAGGCCUUCGGGUUGUAAAGUACUUUCAGCGGGGAGGCGUUACCCGCAGAAGAAGCACCGGCUAACUCCGUGCCAGCAGCCGCGGUAAUAC